rnacentral:lncRNA from 1 species
CUGAGCUUGUUUUCCUUCAACUAGAUGGUCAGCUAGAUGGUCCCAUCUGGGGGUGAUGGGAGUGACAGAUCAUCAGGCAUUAGAUUCUUAUAAGGAGUACCCAACCUAGAUCCCUUACAUGCAUUCACAGUUCACAGUAGGGUUCAUGCUCCUAUGAGAAUCUAAUGCCCCACUAAUCUGAAAGGAAGUGGAGCUCAGGCAGUAAUGCAAGUGAUGGGGAGUGGCUGUAAACACAGUUGAAGCUUCUCUUGGUUGCCUGCUGCUCACCUCCUGCUGUGCAGCCUGGUCCUAAUAGGCCACGGACCAGUACCUGUCUGUGGUCCCGGGAUUGGGGACCCCUGCUCUAGAAGCUGGAAAAGGUAAGGAAACAGAUUCUCUCCUUGAGCCUCCAGAAAGGAACACAGCCCUGUGGAUGCUUUGAUUUUAGUCCCAUGAGAUCCGUUGUGGACUUCUUAACUCCAGCACUAUAAGAUGAUGGAUUCAUGUUGCUGUGUUCAUUUGUUACAGCAGCAGUAAGAAACUUAUCCAGCUUGGAAGUUCAGGGGGCUAUUGGGGAUUUAAAUUGGGAGCAAGGAACAGAGGUAGGGAGACUUGGUCAAUUGCUCUUUUAGAGAUCUUGCCCCUGGGAUGUGGGGAGCAGGACAGAUGCUUUGAAAAAGGGGGCUCUGACCGGGCGCCUGUAAUCCCAGCACUUUGGGAGGCCAAGGCGGGCAGAUCACGAGGUCAGGAGUUUGAGACAAGCCUGGCUAACAUAGCGAAACCCCGUCUCUAUUAAAAAUACAAAAAAAAUUAGUCAGGCACGGUGGCGGGAGCCUGUAGUCCCAGCUACUCGGGAGGCUGAGGAAGGAGAAUGGCGUGAACCCGGGAGAUGGAGCUUGCAGUGAGCCGAGAUUAUGCCACUGCAGUCCGGCCUGGGUGAAAGAGCGAGACUCUGUCUCAAAAAAAAAAAAAAAAAAAAAAGAAAAAAGAAAAAGGGGGCUCUGCCAAACAGCCCUAGGUGAGGGAGGAGCUGGGCCCUGGGGAGCUGAGAGAAAUGAGGGUAAAGAAUGUGCGUUUGUAGAGAAUAAAGAAUAAGAAGGUCUUGGCCACCUCAUGGAGGGUGGGGACGAGAGGCAGGAGAGGAGGAGAAAGGCACGCACCGUAUCCAGGGCCCGCUAUGUCCUCAGUUCAUAGAGUCUUUAUGUCUCAUUUCACAGACAAGGAAAUAGAGGCUUAGAAGCAGAAAUCAAGUGACAAGCUCAGGCCACAGGGCUGAACAACGAUGAUGUGAAUAUUCAAGCUCCUGUUGGUUUGGAGAGGCAGAUACGGUCCUGCCAAGAGCAUCAGCUCCACAGGUAGUGUCAAAACAUUAUGGGUUUGUGUGGUGGACACAGAGCUGCACUGCCCAGCUCCCCUUCAGGAAGGCACAGUGGCCAGCUGCGGGCGUGCAGUCAGCUGCUGGUUGUAAGCUCUUUCCUGUGUACCUUGCCCAAGGUUACACCCCCAGGGAGUCUGUAUCCAACCCCUUAGGAGCCAGGGUGUGAGAGUCUGGCCACUUGGACCAAAUGUGGAUACUGCCAGGCGAGCCUGCUCCAGGCCCUUGGCUGACCAUGGCUGUGUGGGGCCUGAGUCACAGAUUGGCGUCUUCCUCAGCUCAUCCUGCCCCGCCAGGAUUGACCCCUAUUAAACUCAGCCUCUGCUUCGAGGAACCUAACCUGCAAGAGUAGCAGAGCAAGUCUUUGGAUAGAUAAGACAGUCUUUGGAGAGAAGGAGGCCUCAGUGGAGGGCUGAGGGGGCUAUGCUUUGCAUUCUAGGUAAUGUUUUCUCCAAGCUGCUUUUAUUUUUGGUACAGAAAAAUGAGACAGGGUCCUCCCCAUGUUUAAAGCUUCUUUUGGUUUUCAUUUUCUCUGCUUUGGAGUUGAGAUGUGGGUGAUUGCAUGUGUCUGGCUGAGUGAGAAGCAGUGCUCCUGAGCCUGAUGGCCAGGAAUUCCUGGGAACUUGGUGUCCUUCUCCUCUGGCUGAGCCACGCCCAGGUUCAUCUUCAAAUCUGGCUGGCUGUGCAUCUCACCUCCCUCACUCUCCAGCCCCCAACUGCCUGCAUGUCAUACUGAAAGCAGCAGAGGGCUGGCAGAGGAUACCACGUGGCUGCCUGAUUCAUUUCCAAGAGGGAAACCGACAUUAUCCAUUCAAAGGGCAGAGGGAGCCAUUGUUUACAGGAGCCUUUCCUCCUCCAUCCUGGCUUCACCUUCUGGGAAAAGUGGGGACGCUCCACCUGCGCAGCAGCUUGUGGUAGGGUGGAGGGGGCUUGGGAGCCACAGUGGACCCCCCACAAGCCCUCUACCAAGGACCACGUGACAACAGGGAUAUGCACAUUAACCCAAAUUAUUUGUCUACUUCAAUCCCUGAACACUUUGUGUAUCAGAAAUUCUCUUAAAGAUAAAGUGAGGUCUUUUUAUUAACAGAGGUCAGAAUGCAGGAGAGAAGAGGGAUGGGGAGCCAGUCAGAGAAAGGAGCGCAGGCCUUCUCUACUCAGCCCAACCUGCAGGCUCCUCAGUGAUCCCGGUUAUACCGCCUGUAUAUGCGUAUGCAGUCUUGUGCUAGGAAGUGGCUGAAGCCUCUGUUCUGUAGUCUCUGCUGAUUUCUGUGUUGUAAACAUUUCCCCCACAGCUGAUAUCAGGCUAUCCAGGAGACGUCACUGAGCACAGAGUAAGGAGGAGCUGGGCAGUAGCCCCCAUCAGGGAGGAUUCCACCAUCAAGACACAAUAGAUACCAGACCCUUAAGAGCAUAGAAGACAGUAAGACGCAGUAAAAUAAUUAAGAAGUGAUGAGUUUGGGUAUUUAUUACCUUUGUUUUUAAUAUAAUUUAUUUAAUUGUAAGUUUAUGAAAUUUAAUUUUACAAUGGCUGUGUUUAACCACUGGUUCACAACGUUUCUGAUCAUUUAAUAAGUGACUUUCACGGGCCAGUGAUGAGCCUACGGCACUGCACUCCAGCCACUCAGCAACUCCAUGUCCCCUCAUAUCUAUCAUCCUAAAUGCCACAAGGGGUGAGUCUGUGGGCUCAGCUACAGUGUGGCUUCCCUUACCUCCACCCUCUGCUCCCAGCCUACCCUCUCUCUCGCAGUGUCUCCGAGGGAACUGCAGAUGAACUUUACUUCCUGGAGGGAGUGAGCAUAAUGUAGUGGAAAGGGUUUUUCAAGUCUGCCAUUCACUUAGAAUGACGUUGGGUGAGUUACUUAACUAGUCUGAGCCUUGGUCUCUCAAUCUCUAAAAUGGGGUAAUAGGAGUUACUUCAUAGGGUUACUAUGCUUUUGAUAGGGAUUGUUAACUAUAUCCCAAUAUCUAUGCCUCCCCCACCCCCC